GAAAUGCGAUAAGUAAUGUGAAUUGCAGAAUUCAGUGAAUCAUCGAAUCUUUGAACGCACAUUGCGCCCCCUUGUAUUCCGGGGGGCAUGCCUGUUCGAGCGUCAUUUCACCACUCAAGCCUCGCUUGGUAUUGGGCAACGCGGUCCGCCGCGUGCCUCAAAUCGACCGGCUGGGUCUUCUGUCCCCUAAGCGUUGUGGAAACUAUUCGCUAAAGGGUGUUCGGGAGGCUACGCCGUAAAACAACCCCAUUUCUAAGGUUGACCUCGGAUCAGGUAGGGAUACCCGCUGAACUUAAGC
rnacentral:misc_RNA from 1 species